GUGUGAUAGACAUGUAAGAUAUUUUUGAUGUAUGUUUUAAAUUGGUAUUAAUAAAGCAUACUGUCUAAUAUUCUGUAUUUUUUAUGUAAGUUAUGAUGUAGGAAACAGUAACUGUGUGAAAUAACUUGUUUUAUACUACUUGUAAUACUUGUAGUCUGGAACAUAUGAUAAUUGAAGCAAAUAAGUUUUAAUUAACAUUUAAUAAAGUAAAGUUAGAACAAUUAUAGUAUUAUGAUUCUUGUAGAAAUAUUGAAUUGAAUGUCAUUUGUAUAUUUGAUUAAACCAUUUGAAGUUCAUGUUAUAAUUUACCAGUUCACAGUAAUAAUCCACUGUAUAAUCCACAAAUAGGUGUCGUCUGCAAAUUAGGGCAUGCGGUCAUCAUGCUUGGUUGAAUCCAAUUUUAACUUUCAGUUGAUUAAAAAUCGAUAAUCAUAACUUCUCUGUAUUGUAAAAUCUAUGCAUUCUAUGAUUACAUCUAUCUGUCAUUAUAUGUUGAUUUUGGAAGCCAAAUGUCUUGUAUUUUUGUGAUAAUCCAAUUUAAGCAACUGUAGUAAAUUCCACGCACCUUGCUUGAAUUUAUGAAUGAAAUGUAUUGACAUGCGCAGUAGAACCCAUGUGUCACUUGGGACGAUUGUUCAAUAAAAACACUAUUUUUACGUGUUGACAACUGUUUUCACAUACUUCUUGUAAUUCCUUUUAGUAUUUAUAGUCAACGUCUUCAAUGUUUUGUAGAUGUUAAUGCUCACUAUCCUUGAUAUUUAUCAUUUUGGUCCGCCGGUGACACACAUAACUUUUUGCAAUGUUGUUUACGUAUUGCGACUUCCGGUGGCGCUGUAUAUAUUGUUGUAUUUUUAGUUACUAUAGAAAUUUAUCUAGUACCAUGCAAACUUUGUUUAUUAUAUAAAGGUUACUUAAAAUUGUAUAUUAUUGUGAUUUUUGUAAUUUAUUUAAGAAUUCAAAUAUUUAGUUGGACGGCAAGCGCGCGAUCCAACAAUCCAACCAUCCAACCAUCCAACAAUCCAACAAUCCAACAUUGACGUAAUUUCGACGCUUGGUCGUCAGUUCUGCUUAAAACUUUUGGUUCUUACAGUUGGUAUUUUUAUUUGCUCGUUAAUAUUAUUUUAGUCAAAAUGGUUAAUUUUUCUUAGAAACUUCAUUUUUUUAAAAGGUUAAAUUGUAAAGGAAAAUAGUAAAGUUAGCGUUUUCAAAGUUUAAAAGGAAUAUUUCAUUUUAACGGACUUUUUGAAGUUUUAUUUCUAGUUUAUCUUUUAAAGUUAGGAUUAUUGGAAUUGUUCAUUGAAGUUUAUAUUUACUGUUAACGUUUGUCAUUUUGUAAUAAAUAGGAUUAAAUAGGAAAACAUUUGACAAGUAAGGGAUAAUUUCCUAAAGGUCUGGAAAUUAUAAUAAACAAUACAGUUUAUGUAUGGUAUAAACUGUAUUUCAUUGUUAGUUAUUCAGGAAAGGCUCUGAAUAUAUAACUAAUAAUAAUAAACAUUUUUUUUAUGUAACUGGUGAGGUAUCAGUUACAACUAUAUAUAAAUAUGUCAGAAAGAGGUCUUCUGACUAAAUUCACUUCAAGUUAGGAUUUUCUCUUAGGGUAAUUUAUUUUAUUAUUAAGAUAGCAGGACUCAGCCUUUUUAUGUAUUUUUCUGACACACCAACAUAUUAUCUCUUGAGUGUAGAGAUAAGUUAAUAAAUAUCUCUUGAGUUUAGAGAUAAGUUAAUGAAUAUCUCUUGAGUGUAGAGAUAACUUUGUACAUGUAUCAUACUGAAUAGAUUCUUGUCAUAUCAUUUAAGUCUAUAGUUUAAGUAUAUUACUAGUUAAAAUUGUUGUUUAUCUUGAAUAUAAAUGAAAAUAUAUGAUUCUUGAAAUGAAUAAAAGAUAGAAACUUAUUUACGUGACUUUUAGCAAAUGCCUAUAUUAUACUGACCAGCUCAUAUCUUGUCGUACUGACUUUGUUAUUUACAAACUACUCAUAUAAUUUGAGUAAAAACUCUUGGGUCGAAGCAUUUCAAGCCCCUGCCCGCUACAUUAU
rnacentral:lncRNA from 1 species